AUUUAAAUAGUUUAAAAAAAAUAUUAAAAUGUGAUUUUAAAGAUAUUAGUAAUUUUAAAUA
rnacentral:tRNA from 1 species